rnacentral:rRNA from 1 species
ACGGGUGAGUAACGCGUGGUCAACCUACCGUUGAGUGGGGGAUAACUAGCCGAAAGGUUAGCUAAUACCGCAUACGUCUCCGAGGGGCAUCCCUUGGCGAUAAGAGGAGCAAUCCGCUCGAUGACGGGACCGCGUCCCAUUAGCUAGAUGGUGGGGUAACGGCCUACCAUGGCACCGAUGGGUAGCUGGUUUGAGAGAGCGACCAGCCACACUGGGACUGAGAAACGGCCCAG